CCCUUAGACGUUCUGGGCCGCACGCGCGCUACACUGACCAGUGCAACAAGCAUCCGUCCUUGGCCGACAGGCUCGGGCAAUCUUUGAACGCUGGUCGUGAUGGGGAUAGACUUUUGCAAUUUUUGGUCUUCAACGAGGAAUUCCUAGUAAACGCAAGUCAUCAACUUGCAUUGAUUACGUCCCUGCCCUUUGUACACACCGCCCGUCGCACCUACCGAUUGAAUGGUCCGGUGAAGCCUCCGGAUUGGCGCGCACCUCGGUGCCGCCGAGAAGUUGGCUAAACCUUACCAUUUAGAGGAAGGUGAANUUGUAACA
rnacentral:rRNA from 1 species